rfam:Triticum urartu cultivar G1812 contig1188312, whole genome shotgun sequence.
GUAGUAUUCCCUCCAUCCCAAAAUUCUUGUCUUACAUUUGUUUAGAUACGGAUGUAUCUAACACUAAAAUGUAACUAGAUACAUCCGUAUUUAGACAAAUUUAAGACAAGAAUUUUGGGACGGAGGGAGUACAAA